ACCCAGCUGAUGAGUUCCAAAUAGGAUGAAACGCACUUCCCGUAU
rnacentral:hammerhead_ribozyme from 1 species